rnacentral:rRNA from 1 species
GACGAACGCUGGCGGCGCGCUUAACACAUGCAGGUCGAGCGAUGAAAUCUUGACAGAACCCUUCGGGGUGAAGAUAAGAUGGAUUAGCGGCGGACGGGUGAGUAACACGUGAGUAACCUGCCUUAGACAUUGGGAUAGCCUCGGGAAACCGGGAUUAAUACCAAAUGAAAUCACAUAUGCACAUGCAUAAAUGAUCAAAGCUCCGGCGGUCUAAGAUGGACUCGCGUCCCAUUAGCUAGUUGGUGAGGUAACGGCCCACCAAGGCGACGAUGGGUAGCCGGCCUGAGAGGGUGAACGGCCACAUUGGAACUGAGAAACGGUCCAAACUCCUACGGGAGGCAGCAGUGGGGAAUAUUGCACAAUGGAGGGAACUCUGAUGCAGCGAUGCCGCGUGAACGAAGAAGGCUUUCGAGUCGUAAAGUUCUUUUAUGUGGGAAGAUAAUGACGGUACCAUAAGAAAAAGCCCCGGCUAACUACGUGCCAGCAGCCGCGGUAAUACGUAGGGGGCUAGCGUUGUCCGGAAUCACUGGGCGUAAAGGGUUCGCAGGCGGAAAUGCAAGUCAGGUGUAAAAGGCAGUAGCUUAACUACUGUAAGCAUUUGAAACUGCAUAUCUUGAGAAGAGUAGAGGUAAGUGGAAUUUUUAGUGUAGCGGUGAAAUGCGUAGAUAUUAAAAAGAAUACCGGUGGCGAAGGCGACUUACUGGGCUCAUUCUGACGCUGAGGAACGAAAGCGUGGGUAGCAAACAGGAUUAGAUACCCUGGUAGUCCACGCUGUAAACGAUGAGUGCUAGGUAUCGGAAAAAUUCGGUGCCGCAGUUAACACAUUAAGCACUCCGCCUGGGGAGUACGUGCGCAAGCAUG